rnacentral:rRNA from 1 species
CAAUAGCGUAUAUUAAAGUUGUUGCAGUUAAAAAGCUCGUAGUUGGAUUUCUGUUUUCUGUUACAGGUCCGCUCAUGUAUUUGAGUGCGUACUAUGUUUCAGAAUUCAUUUUUUGUGAGGAUCCUUGGCUGGCAUUAAGUUGCCUGGCCUUGUGUACUUGCAUCUUUUACUGUGAAAAAUUAGAGUGUUUAAAGCAGGCGUUCGCUUUAUUUGAAUACAUUAGCAUGGAAUAAUAAGAUACGACUUGUGUGGUCUAUUUUGUUGGUUUGCACACGCGAGUAAUGAUUAAUAGGGACAGUUGGGGGUAUUUAUACUUCAGCGUCAGAGGUGAAAUUCUUGGAUCGCUGAAAGAUAAGCUUAGGCGAAAGCAUUUACCAUGGAUGUUUUCAUUAAUCAAGAACGAAAGUUAGGGGAUCGAAGACGAUUAGAUACCAU